GUUUGCAUAUGUGAAGAGAGAGCGAGAGGGAGAGAGAGAGAGAGAGAGCUUAAAACGAUUUGUAGCCUUUAAUGCGUUUCGUGGCCUUACAUAAGCGAAACGGUAAGCGAUACACGUGUCUCUGUCGCUGUUACUCUCACUCUCUCUCGCUCACUCACUCUCAUUUAGCACUUC
rnacentral:miRNA from 1 species